AACGAACGCUGGCGGCAUGCCUAACACAUGCAAGUCGAACGAGACCUUCGGGUCUAGUGGCGCACGGGUGCGUAACGCGUGGGAACCUGCCCUUAGGUUCGGAAUAACUCCCCGAAAGGGGUGCUAAUACCGGAUAAUGUCUUCGGACCAAAGAUUUAUCGCCUUUGGAUGGGCCCGCGUUGGAUUAGCUAGUCGGUAGGGUAAAAGCCUACCAAGGUGACGAUCCAUAGCUGGUCUGAGAGGAUGAUCAGCCACACUGGGACUGAGACACGGCCCAGACUCCUACGGGAGGCAGCAGUGGGGAAUAUUGGACAAUGGGCGAAAGCCUGAUCCAGCAAUGCCGCGUGAGUGAUGAAGGCCUUAGGGUUGUAAAGCUCUUUUACCCGGGAUGAUAAUGACAGUACCGGGAGAAUAAGCUCCGGCUAACUCCGUG
rnacentral:rRNA from 1 species